CCUACGGGGGGCAGCAGUGGGGAAUAUUGGGCAAUGGGGGAAACCCUGAACCAGCAACGCCGCGUGAGGGAAGACGGUUUUUGGAUUGUAAACCUCUGUCCUCUGUGAAGAUAAUGACGGUAGCAGAGGAGGAAGCUCCGGCUAACUACGUGCCAGCAGCCGCAGUAAUACGUAGGGAGCAAGCGUUGUCCGGAUUUACUGGGUGUAAAGGGUGUGUAGGCGGCUUUGGAAGUCAGAAGUGAAAUCCAUGGGCGUAACCCAUGAACUGCUGUUGAAACUGCAGAGCUUGAGUGGAGUAGAGGUAGGCGGAAUGCCCGGUGUAGCGGUGAAAUGCGGAGAGAUCGGGAGGAACACCAGUGGCGAAGGCGGCCUGCUGGGCUCUAACUGACGCUGAGGCACGAAAGCGUGGGUAGCAAACAGGAUUAGAUACCCUUGUAGUC
rnacentral:rRNA from 1 species